rnacentral:ncRNA from 1 species
CCCGCUGAAUUUAAGCAUAUUAGUCAGUGGAGGAAAAGAAACUAACCAGGAUUCCCUCAGUAACGCAAGUGAACAGGGA